rnacentral:rRNA from 1 species
UACGUAGGGUGCGAGCGUUAAUCGGAUUUACUGGGCGUAAAGCGUGCGCAGGCGGCCCGUUAAGACAGGUGUGAAAUCCCCGGGCUCAACCUGGGAACUGCAUUUGUGACUGUAUAGCUAGAGUACGGCAGAGGGGGAUGGAAUUCCGCGUGUAGCAGUGAAAUGCGUAGAUAUGCGGAGGAACACCGAUGGCGAAGGCAGCCCCCUGGGCCUGUACUGACGCUCAUGCACGAAAGCGUGGGGAGCAAACAGG